rnacentral:rRNA from 1 species
CACGUAGGGGGCAAGCGUUGUCCGGAUUUAUUGGGCGUAAAGAGCUCGUAGGCGGCUCAGUAAGUCAGGUGUGAAACCUCCAGGCUCAACCUGGAGACGCCACCUGAUACUGCUGUGGCUAGAGUCCGGUAGGGGAGCGUGGAAUUCCUGGUGUAGCGGUGAAAUGCGCAGAUAUCAGGAGGAACACCAGCGGCGAAGGCGGCGCUCUGGGCCGGAACUGACGCUGAGGAGCAAAAGCGUGGGUAGCAAACAGG